UACGUAGGGUGCGAGCGUUAAUCGGAAUACUGGGCGUAAAGCGUGCGCAGGCGGUUUUGUAAGCCAGAUGUGAAAUCCCCGGGCUCAACCUGGGAAUGGCAUUUGGGACUGCAAGGCUUGAGUGCGGCAGAGGAGACUGGAAUUCCUGGUGUAGCAGUGAAAUGCGUAGAUAUCAGGAGGAAUACCGAUGGCGAAGGCAGGUCUCUGGGCUGACACUGACGCUCAUGCACGAAAGCGUGGGGAGCAAACAGG
rnacentral:rRNA from 1 species